rnacentral:rRNA from 1 species
AUUGAACGCUGGCGGCAUGCCUUACACAUGCAAGUCGAACGGCAGCACGGGGGGUAACCCCUGGUGGCGAGUGGCGAACGGGUGAGUAAUAUAUCGGAACGUGUCCUGUAGCGGGGGAUAACCUAUCGAAAGAUGGACUAAUACCGCAUACGACCUACGGGUGAAAGCGGAGGACCGCAAGGCUUCGCACUAUAGGAGCGGCCGAUAUCGGAUUAGCUAGUUGGCGGGGUAACGGCCCACCAAGGCGACGAUCCGUAGCUGGUCUGAGAGGACGAUCAGCCACACUGGAACUGAGCCACGGUCCAGACUCCUACGGGAGGCAGCAGUGGGGAAUUUUGGACAAUGGGCGCAAGCCUGAUCCAGCCAUGCCGCGUGAGUGAAGAAGGCCUUCGGGUUGUAAAGCUCUUUCGGCGGGGACGAAACGGUUCGUGCUAAUACCACGGACUACUGACGGUACCCGCAGAAGAAGCACCGGCUAACUACGUG